AUGGCAAGUGGCAGUGGCGCUAGGUCGUUGGCAACCACAGCGGCGAAUCUGAAUGCGGUGAGGGAAACCGUGGACGUUCUGCUUGAGAUUUCAAGAAUUUUGAAUACUGGCUUAGAUUUAUGGAAACACUGUCUAUUUGUGCACGGCUUUGUGAACAAGGAAUUAACCCAGAAGCUUUAUCAUCUGUUAUUAAGGAACUCCGCAAGGCUACUGAAGCACUAAAGGCUGCUGAAAAUAUGACAAGCUGACUUUCUGGAGAGAUCCUGAGGAGAUAUGUCAAAUUCCUCAAGAGRAUUUGAAGAUUGCAUUUUAGUCAAGAAUGUACAGUGAAAUUACUGCAUGCAGCAGUGUAGAAAAAUUUUCCUUUUUUAAAAAAGAAUUAUAAAACCAUAGCUUUAUAAAUCAGUGGAAAGUGGCUUACAGAGAGAACUAUCAAAUGUGUUUGCAUCGCAUCUUUUUUUUAAUGGCCCUAAUGCUUUGGCAUUGCUAUGUUUAUAUUUAUGUAUUCCUUAUUUAUAGCUCUGAUAGCUUUAAUUUUCUAAGCAGUCUGUCUAUCAGAUGUGCACAUCUGCUGUGCCUGCUGGAAGUAUAUGGAACCCAUCAGUAUUGAUGUGUUGUAGUUAUGACUUGUUGACAUUUCYAUUAUAAACUUUAAUUUUGAAUUGUUUAUGCAUAAUAACUGUUGAUUUAUGUUGUAUCAGGCUAAAAGUUGUCAAGAUUUUAGCCACCACA